UAGUCCACGCCCUAAACGAUGUCAACUAGGUGUUGGGUGGGUAAAACCAUUUAGUACCGUAGCUAACGCGUGAAGUUGACCGCCUGGGGAGUACGGCCGCAAGGUUAAAACUCAAAGGAAUUGACGGGGACCCGCACAAGCGGUGGAUGAUGUGGAUUAAUUCGAUGCAACGCGAAAAACCUUACCUACCCUUGACAUGUUCAGAAGCCUGAAGAGAUUUGGGUGUGCCCGAAAGGGAACUGGAACACAGGUGCUGCAUGGCUGUCGUCAGCUCGUGUCGUGAGAUGUUGGGUUAAGUCCCGCAACGAGCGCAACCCUUGUCGUUAAUUGCCAUCAUUUAGUUGGGCACUUUAACGAGACUGCCGGUGACGAACCGGAGGAAGGUGGGGAUGACGUCAAGUCCUCAUGGCCCUUAUGGGGUAGGGGCUUCACACGUCAUACAAUGGGUCGGUACAGAGGGGUUGCCAAGCCGCGAGGUGGGAGCCAAUCCCCAGAAAGCCGAUCGUAGUCCGGGAUCGCAGGGCU
rnacentral:rRNA from 1 species